rnacentral:rRNA from 1 species
CCUACGGGGGGCUGCAGUGGGGAAUAUUGGACAAUGGGGGGAACUCUGAUCCAGCCAUGCCGCGUGUGUGAAGAAGGCCCUCGGGUUGUAAAGCACUUUCAGUGAGGAAGAACGCCUGGUGGUUAAUACCCAUCAGGAAAGACAUCACUCACAGAAGAAGCACCGGCUAACUCCGUGCCAGCAGCCGCGGUAAUACGGAGGGUGCGAGCGUUAAUCGGAAUUACUGGGCGUAAAGCGCGCGUAGGUGGCUUGAUAAGCCGGUUGUGAAAGCCCCGGGCUCAACCUGGGAACGGCAUCCGGAACUGUCAAGCUAGAGUGCAGGAGAGGAAGGUAGAAUUCCCGGUGUAGCGGUGAAAUGCGUAGAGAUCGGGAGGAAUACCAGUGGCGAAGGCGGCCUUCUGGACUGACACUGACACUGAGGUGCGAAAGCGUGGGUAGCAAACAGGAUUAGAUACCCCGGUAGUC